UACGGGGGGGGCAAGCGUUGUUCGGAAUUACUGGGCGUAAAGCGCACGUAGGCGGAUCGUUAAGUCAGGGGUGAAAUCCUGGAGCUCAACUCCAGAACUGCCUUUGAUACUGGCGAUCUUGAGUCCGGAAGAGGUGAGUGGAACUCCUAGUGUAGAGGUGGAAUUCGUAGAUAUUAAGAAGAACACCAGUGGCGAAGGCGGCUCACUGGUCCGGUACUGACGCUGAGGUGCGAAAGCGUGGGGAGCAAACAGG
rnacentral:rRNA from 1 species